CCCGCGCCUUGCAGCGCAGGGUGAUAACCUGUUGAGGUCCAAAAGCGGGAAAGUCCGGUGCGAUCCCGGUACUGUGCCGCAGCUGUAAUGGGCUUCCCAAGUCAGAAUGCCGCCUUUGGACGUUGCCUCCGG
rnacentral:ncRNA from 2 species